rnacentral:rRNA from 1 species
GGCGGACGGGUGAGUAACGCGUAAAGAACUUGCCCUUUAGACUGGGAUAACAGAGGGAAACUUCUGAUAAUACUGGAUAAGUUAGUAUAUCGCAUGAUAUACAAAUGAAAGCUACGGCACUAAAGGAGAGCUUUGCGUCCUAUUAGCUAGUUGGUAAGGUAAGAGCUUACCAAGGCGAUGAUAGGUAGCCGGCCUGAGAGGUGGACGGCCACAAGGGGACUGAGAUACGGCCCUUACUCCUACGGGAGGCAGCAGUC